CGCGUCUGUACAGCCACCAUUCUUCUACUUCAUCACAUAGUUCUCAAGAAACUGAGUGCGACGACAAGAUAGAGGAGUAGAAGACAUUCCUAAAUGCUGGAAUCAUGAUGUUUAUGGCUUCAAACGCACUUAAUUUAAUGCAAUUAUCGCAUCCCGUUCUUCCUUCCACUACAUCUCUCGGUCGAAUUCAGCUAGUUUCAUCCUGUUCUUCAUCGUGUAGCAAUCAUGGUUCACCUACCAAAACUCGUUCCAGAGACCGCAUCUUUACUUUCCCCAAGUUCCGGCAGCACAGAGUUUUCACUCCAAAAGCUUCAAGUUCGGACAUAGAUGCGGUGAUAGCCUCCACAAAUGUCGAGGAAGACGUCGAGUCAGCUCAGCUAUUCGAGAAAUUGAAGGAUGAUGAGAGACAACGGAUAAAUAAUUUGGAAGAACUUCAGAGGAAGGCGAAUUUGCAAUUAGAGAGGCAGCUUGUAAUGGCUUCUAGUUGGAGUAGGGCCUUAUUGACCAUGCGUGGAAAAUUAAAGGGAACCGAGUGGGAUCCCGAGAAUUCCCACAGAAUUAAUUUUAGUGAUUUUUUGACACUGCUUAAUUCGAGCAAUGUCCAGUUCAUUGAGUACUCAAAUUACGGUCAGACAAUGUCAGUUAUUUUACCAUAUUACAAGGAUGGAACAGGUGGAAAUGCAAAGAAUGAAGUCAUCUUUCGGCGUCAUGUGGUUGAUCGUAUGCCAAUUGAUUGUUGGAACGAUGUCUGGAAAAGGUUACAUCAACAAAUAGUAAAUGUUGAUGUAAUUAAUGUGGAUGCAGUCCCUGCAGAAGUCUAUUCAUCUGUUGCAACUGCAGUUAUUUGGUCUAUGCGACUAGCACUCUCUGUUGCACUGUAUCUUUGGAUUGAUAACUUGAUGAGACCAAUAUAUGCAAAGUUGAUACCUUGUGAUUUGGGAGUUCCUACAAAAACAACUAGACCACCACUCCAGCGCCAGACACUUGGAUCUUUAGGAAAGAGUCGGGCAAAAUUUAUAUCAGCAGAAGAAACUACUGGUAUCACUUUCAGUGAUUUUGCUGGACAGGAGUAUAUAAAGAGGGAGUUGCAAGAGAUUGUACGAAUUCUCAAAAAUGACGAAACCUUCCAAGAAAAGGGCAUCUAUUGCCAAAAAGGAGUACUACUCCAUGGGCCUCCUGGAACUGGUAAAACGCUACUGGCUAAAGCUAUUGCUGGUGAAGCUGGACUUCCAUUCUUUGCUGUAAAUGGAACGGAUUUUGUAGAGAUGUUUGUGGGAGUGGCAGCCUCCCGUGUGAAGGAUCUUUUUGCUAGCGCCAGAUCAUAUGCACCUUCCAUUAUAUUUAUUGACGAGAUAGAUGCCAUUGGUAGCAAACGUGGUGGACCUGAUAUUGGUGGAGGUGGUGCAGAAAGGGAACAAGGCCUACUUCAAAUAUUGACUGAGAUGGAUGGAUUCAAGGUUUCUACUGCACAGGUGCUAGUUAUUGGUGCAACAAAUAGACUUGAUAUUCUCGAUCCUGCUCUGUUGAGAAAGGGCCGUUUUGAUAAAAUUAUAAGAGUUGGUUUGCCAUCUAAAGAUGGAAGAUUGGCCAUAUUAAAGGUGCAUGCUAGAAAUAAAUUUUUUCGUUCUGAGGAGAUUAAGGAGGCUCUACUCCAAGAAAUUGCUGAGCUAACUGAAGAUUUCACAGGGGCAGAAUUGCAAAAUAUACUAAACGAAGCUGGAAUUUUGACUGCCAGAAAGGAUCUGGACCAUAUUGGACGUGAAGAGUUGCUUGAAGCAUUGAAAAGGCAAAAGGGUACCUUUGAAACUGGUCAGGAAGAUAGUACUGAAAUUCCAGAAGAUUUGAAACUAAGAUUGGCAUAUAGGGAAGCAGCCGUUGCGAUUCUGGCUUCCUAUUUUCCAGAUACCCACCGCCCAUUCAUCGAGACGGAUAUAAAAUCAAUCCGUAGUCAGCCAAAUAUGCGUUAUGCUGAAAUUCCAGGGAGAGUGUUUUCAAGAAAAAUAGAUUAUAUUAAUUCCAUUGUCCGUGCAUGUGCUCCACGAGUAAUUGAGGAGGAAAUGUUUGGGGUUGAUAAUAUGUGCUGGAUCUCUUCAAAGGCCACGUUAGAUGCUUCCAAGUUGGCAGAAUUUUUGAUUCUGCAGACAGGGAUGACAGCUUUUGGCAAAGCAUACUACAGGAAUCAUGGUGAUCUUGUUCCAAAUCUUGCAUCCAAACUUGAAGCACUUCGUGAGGAAUACUUGCGUUAUGCUGUGGAAAAAUGUUUUUCAGUCUUGAGAGAAUACCAUUCCGCUGUAGAGACAAUCACAGAUGUUUUACUUGAAAAGGGAGAGAUAAGGGCUGAGGAAAUUCGGGACAUAUAUGAAAAGGCUCCUCGGUUUCCACAGCCUGCUGUGCGUCCAAUUGAUGAACAUGGAGCUCUGCUGUAUGCUGGACGGUGGGGAAUUUAUGGAGUUACACUUCCUGGAAGGGUUACAUUUGCACCUGGAAAUGUUGGAUUUGUGACUUUUGGUGCGCCUCGACCUAUGGAGACACAAGUUGUUAAUGACGAAACUUGGAAACUAAUUGAUGAUAUCUGGGAAAAAAGGGUUCAGGAAAUCAGAGCUGAAGUUUCUGCAGAUGUUGAAGAAGAUGAAGAGAAGCCGCAACUUCUGAUGGCCAGUCAUUUCCUUUGAAUAUCAUAAAUGUUGGCAGUAAAUGCCAGAUUCCUGGAUGUCUGGAAAAUUGCAUCCUUGAUGACUAUGUAAGUUGGUGACUUUGUGGGUGCUUAUGUUUUACUGCAGAUGAUGAAGGCUUGGAAAAAUUGCACCUUUGAGAACUAUGUUUGCUGGAGACUUCAUGGGUUCUUAUUAUCCAGUAAAGAUGAUGCGAUAAUUUUGUUUUAGGCUGUGAGAAGUUGCUGAAAUUACGACUGAAUUGCUGGAAUUAUCUUUCAGCCUGAGUUAGCAUCACUGAGAAGAGGUCGGCGAGCUCCUUUUUCUUCGGUGUCCAGCUGCCAGUUCUCAAAUUGAAGGCAUACAAAGGAAGGAAUCUUUGUCCAUAAUCAGCUAUGAAUUCUAAAGCCUUUAAAAUGAACUCGAACUCCUCAUUUGGCAUGUAGUAGGGAAAGCUUAUUCUUGUCCAUCCAGGUUUUAUUCCAGCAUAGCCCUAUUAGGUUGUUAGAGAUUUAGUUUGGACAAAGUUCACUGUUUCAUGGAAUGCAAAAUUGAAAGAUACCUUAGCAA